rnacentral:rRNA from 1 species
GACGAACGCUGGCGGCGUGCUUAACACAUGCAAGUGGAGCGACGAACCAGGGCUUGCCCUGGGGCAGAGCCGCGAACGGGUGAGUAACACGUGGGUAACGUGCCCCAAUGAUCGGGACAACCCGGGGAAACCCGGGCUAAUACCGAAUGUGCCCCCCUCACGCCAGUGAGGGGUGGAAAGGAAGCUUCGGCCUCCGCAUUGGGAUCGGCCCGCGGCCCAUUAGCUUGUUGGUGAGGUAACGGCUCACCAAGGCUGCGAUGGGUAGCUGGUCUGAGAGGACGAUCAGCCACACUGGGACUGAGACACGGCCCAGACUCCUACGGGAGGCAGCAGUGGGGAAUCUUGCGCAAUGCGCGAAAGCGUGACUCAGCAACGCCGCGUGGGGGAAGAAGGCCUUCGGGUUGUAAACCCCUUUCAGGAGGGACGAAGCGUGGGCCGUUAAUAGCGGAUCCACGUGACGGUACCUCCAGAAGAAGCCCCGGCUAACUACGUGCCAGCCGCCGCUGUAAGAC